AGGCCUUUAGGGUAGCCAGGAGUGCCCGCUGGGCUCAUAACCCAGAGAUCGGAGGUUCAAAUCCUCUCCCCGCUA
rnacentral:tRNA from 1 species